GACGAACGCUGGCGGCGUGCUUAACACAUGCAAGUCGAACGCUGAAGCCUAGCUUGCUGGGUGGAUGAGUGGCGAACGGGUGAGUAACACGUGAGUAACCUGCCCUCUUCUUUGGGAUAACGCCCGGAAACGGGUGCUAAUACUGGAUAUUCACUGAUCUUCGCAUGGGGGUUGGUGGAAAGGUUUUUUCUGGUGGGGGAUGGGCUCGCGGCCUAUCAGCUUGUUGGUGGGGUGAUGGCCUACCAAGGCUUUGACGGGUAGCCGGCCUGAGAGGGUGACCGGUCACAUUGGGACUGAGAUACGGCCCAGACUCCUACGGGAGGCAGCAGUGGGGAAUAUUGCACAAUGGGCGAAAGCCUGAUGCAGCGACGCCGCGUGAGGGAUGGAAGCCUUCGGGUUGUAAACCUCUUUCGCUCAUGGUCAAGCCGCAACUCAAGGUUGUGGUGAGGGUAGUGGGUAAAGAAGCGCCGGCUAACUACGUGCCAGCAGCCGCGGUAAUACGUAGGGCGCGAGCGUUGUCCGGAAUUAUUGGGCGUAAAGGGCUUGUAGGCGGUUGGUCGCGUCUGCCGUGAAAUCCUCUGGCUUAACUGGGGGCGUGCGGUGGGUACGGGCUGACUUGAGUGCGGUAGGGGAGACUGGAACUCCUGGUGUAGCGGUGGAAUGCGCAGAUAUCAGGAAGAACACCGGUGGCGAAGGCGGGUCUCUGGGCCGUUACUGACGCUGAGGAGCGAAAGCGUGGGGAGCGAACAGG
rnacentral:rRNA from 1 species